AUUGAACGCUGGCGGCAGGCUUAACACAUGCAAGUCGAGCGGGGGAAGGUAGCUUGCUACCGGACCUAGCGGCGGACGGGUGAGUAAUGCUUAGGAAUCUGCCUAUUAGUGGGGGACAACAUCUCGAAAGGGAUGCUAAUACCGCAUACGUCCUACGGGAGAAAGCAGGGGAUCUUCGGACCUUGCGCUAAUGGAUGAGCCUAAGUCGGAUUAGCUAGUUGGUGGGGUAAAGGCCUACCAAGGCGACGAUCUGUAGCGGGUCUGAGAGGAUGAUCCGCCACACUGGGACUGAGACACGGCCCAGAUUCCUACGGGAGGCAGCAGUGGGGAAUAUUGGACAAUGGGGGGAACCCUGAUCCAGCCAUGCCGCGUGUGUGGAGAAGGCCUUAUGGUUGUAAAGCACUUUAAGCGAGGAGGAGGCUACUUUAGUUAAUACCUAGAGAUAGUGGACGUUACUCGCAGAAUAAGCACCGGCUAACUCUGUGCCAGCCGCCGCCGUAA
rnacentral:rRNA from 1 species